rfam:Stegodyphus mimosarum contig82253, whole genome shotgun sequence.
GCCUUCGUGGUGUAAUGGUCAGCACACUAAGUCGGUAUUUCAGAGGUCCGUGGUUCGAUUCCCGGCGAAGGAA